rnacentral:rRNA from 1 species
GAUGAACGCUGGCGGCGUGCCUAAUAAAUGCAAGUCGAGCGAACGGACGAGAAGCUUGCUUCUCUGAUGUUAGCGGCGGACGGGUGAGUAACACGUGGAUAACCUACCUAUAAGACUGGGAUAACUUCGGGAAACCGGAGCUAAUACCGGAUAAUAUUUUGAACAGCAUGGUUCAAAAGUGAAAGAAGGUCUUGCUGUCACUUAUAGAUGGAUCUACGCUGCAUUAGCGAGUUGUUAAGGUAACGGAUAACCAAAGCAACAAGGCAUAGCCGACCUGUGAGGGUGAUCGGCCACACAGGAUCUGAGACACGGUCCGGACUCCUACGGGAGGCAGCAGGAGAGAAUCUUGCGGAAUAGGCGGAAGCCUGGCGAAGCAACACCGCGUGAGUGAUAAAGGUCUUCGAAUCGUAGAACUCUGUUAUUAGGGAAGAACAUAUGUAUAUGUAACUGUGCACAUCUUGACGGUACCUAAUCAGAAAGCCACGGCUAACUACGUG